rnacentral:rRNA from 1 species
ACGGGGUGCAGCAGGCGCGAAACCUCCACAAUUCACGAAAGUGAGAUGGGGUUACCUCGAGUGCCGCCUGAAGAAGACGGCUUUUCCAUUGUGUAAUGAGCCGUGGGAAUAAGGGGGGGGCAAGACUGGUGUCAGCCGCCGCGGUAACACCAGCCCCCCGAGUGGUGGGGAUGAUUAUUUGGCCUAAAGCGUCCGUAGCCAGCUCUGUAAAUCUCCCGUUAAAUCCAGCGUCCUAAGCGUUGGGCUGCGAGAGAGACUGCAGAACUAGAGGGUGGGAGAGGUCAGCGGUAUUCCUGGGGUAGGGGCGAAAUCCAUUGAUCCCAGGAGGACCACCAGUGGCGAAGGCUGCUGACUAGAACACGCCUGACGGUGAGGGACGAAAGCUGGGGUAGCGAAUCGGAUUAGAUACCCGAGUAGUCCCAGCCGUAAACGAUGCAGGCUAGGUGUUGGGUUGGCCACGUGCCAGCUCAGUGCCACAGGGAAGCCAUUAAGCCUGCCGCCUGGGGAGUACGGCCGCAAGGCUGAAACUUAAAGGAAUUGGCGGGGGAGCACCACCAGGCGUGAAGCCUGCGGUUUAAUUGGAGUCAACGCCGGGAAUCUUACCGGGAGCGACAGCAGAGUGAAGGCCAGGUUGAAGGUCUUGCCGGACGAGCUGAGAG